UGGGGAAUCUUGCACAAUGGGGGAAACCCUGAUGCAGCGACGCCGCGUGAACGAUGAAGCCCUUCGGGGUGUAAAGUUCUUUCGACAGGAACGAUAAUGACGGUACCUGGAGAAGAAGCUGCGGCUAACUACGUGCCAGCAGCCGCGGUAAUACGUAGGGGGCAAGCGUUGUCCGGAUUUACUGGGUGUAAAGGGUGCUCAGGCGGAUUUGUAAGUCAGAGGUGAAAUCUUACAGCUUAACUGUGAAACUGCCUUUGAUACUGCAAGCCUAGAGUAUGGAAGAGAGUGAUGGAAUAUCUGGUGUAGCAGUGAAAUGCGUAGAUAUCAGAUAGAACACCAAUGGCGAAGGCAGUCACUUGGUCCAUUACUGACGCUAAAGCACGAAAGCGUGGGUAGCAAACA
rnacentral:rRNA from 1 species